CAGUCCAACCAGCUCAAUUGUUUUUAAUUAAAAUGUCUAAAGUAUGACUCCAGUACUUCCUGAAAACUUACAUGCCAUAGCAGAAGAAAACAUUUAAUAAUCCUAUUUGCGUAUUUUAUCAAAAUUAUAAAUAACAGGAUUUAUUCAUCUGUGUUGAAUACAGUCAUAACCACAUGCAGCGACUUCCUAGGACUUCAUGAAUGAUCAUAAAAUUCCUGAAAAGUGUUUACCUGCCUUAUAUAAGACUCCAAUUUAUACAGAAAAGGGGUGUCAUGAGUGAAAAUAUAAAUUGCCUGAACUGUCUUCACAGAAAAAAAACUGCACACAUGCUGAAGUUUUAAAAAUCCAUAUGCUUUUUUCCAGGUGUGAACUGAACUGCACAACCCCAUACGCUGAUAGAAAAAAAACAGGUGUCCCCUCCUCCAAUGACGUGUUAAUAUCUAGUGUCAUUUCAGCAGACAGAAUUUUAUGGUUAACUACAGAAAGGAGAAAAAGACCAGUGUUUCACAAUGGCACAUCUUAAUAAUCCAAUCUUGAACUUUGCUUCAAAAAUCAUAGAACGACCUCUGUAACAGAUUUACUUUGGAAAUGACACU
rnacentral:lncRNA from 1 species